GACAGAGGGUGCAAACGUUGUUCGGAAUUACUGGGCGUAAAGCGCGUGUAGGCAGCUUCGCAAGUCGGGUGUGAAAGCCCUGGGCUCAACCUAGGAAGUGCACUCGAAACUGCGGAGCUUGAGUCUCGGAGAGGGUCGCGGAAUUCUCGGUGUAGAGGUGAAAUUCGUAGAUAUCGAGAGGAACACCGGUGGCGAAGGCGGCCAUCUGGACGGUUACUGACGCUGAGACGCGAAAGCGUGGGGAGCAAACAGG
rnacentral:rRNA from 1 species